rfam:Loxodonta africana unplaced genomic scaffold scaffold_44, whole genome shotgun sequence.
CCAAAGGCUCUUUUCAGAGCCAACCAUCUUUUCAGUGAAAGAUGCU